rnacentral:lncRNA from 1 species
CCCCAUUGUCGGCCAAGGUGAGCUCUCCGCCGUCCCUCACCAAUCUUUGAGUUCUUCCUUCAAAUCUUUCACGAUUUUUACAAGUUUUCAUCUUGUUUUGAAGAUUUUCAAGUUUUGAGCAAGUUUUGAGCUUGGAGACCCAAGGAAGUUAAAAAUCUCCCAUCUCCAAGAUUAGGUCGUCUCUCUCUCGAUCUUCAAGAGGUAAGAGCCGAUCUUAAGCUCAUUCCAUGUUUUCAGUGAGUUUUAUGAAGAUCUAUGGGGUAGAAUGCAUGUUUAGCUUAUAGUUAGGUUUUUGAGUUUAUAUUGUGUUUUUGAACAAUGUGGCUUGCAAAUGCAUGUUUGAUGUGUUUUAGAUGGGGCUUAGGAUGGUUUGAAGCCCCUAGGAGCUUGUAUGCUUGUAUAUGUGUGUGGUAGAAUAGGUUUAUGCAUGUUUGGAUGGAAUGGGAGGCGUAUAUGCAUAGAGGAGCUGAGUUUCUGCCAUUAUGGGAGAAACCAGGUUCGGCAGCCGAAGGAACUUUCGGCCGCCGAACAUGCUUGUGGAGGCAGCCUUCGGCUGCCGAAGCUUGCCCCCGAAAGGAGACUUUCUUCACUGUCUGGGAGUUUCGGCCGCCGAAGGUGCCGCCGAACCUGCCUGACUUUCGGCUCUGGAGGGACUUUCGGCCGCCGAACCUGCCGCCGAAAGUGCCCUGUCCAACCCUCUUUUGCAUAUUUUUCUAUGGUUGUUUCAUGAUGUUCUAGGGGGUUUUUGGGAAGUAGUUUAGAAUUAUGUUCAUGUAUGUUUGGUCUUUCACUUGAGUCCACCUGUGUAGGUUCGGACCCGAGGAACCAAGGACCCCAGCAGUGAGUUCAACUGCUUCUGAGUCAGUAGAGCUUCAACCAGAGGUGAGUGGAAUAACUUUCUAUGCUUUAAAAUAAAUAAAUCAGUUUUAGCAUGAUUCACGCAUCAUGAAUGCCAUGAGAUAUAAUAGGGUGUUUGCAUUAGAACUCACGAAUAUAUUGCAUUGCAUAAUAUGUGGAUAAUGUGGAUGAAUGUUGGAUGAUCCUUUAGUCCUCAUAUGUUAUGAUGAUGAUGAUACGGUACGGAAGACCAGUGAGGCCCAUUCUACGCCCCUGGCACUAUGUAAGUGAAAGACCAGCGAGGCCCAUUCUACGCCCCUGGCACAGUUGGACCUUGUAGGGGACUAUUGGUGACAAAUUCAUCCUUGAUGUGAUUAGCUGUGAUGUGAUGCAUUUCAUGUUAUCAUAUGUUUUAAAUGUUUUAUUAUUCUGCUCACUGGGCUCUUGUAGCUCACCCCUCUCCCUUAACCCCCAGGCUUGCAGGUACAGGGUAGACCAGGAGGUCAGCAAGAGUAAUGAAGUCUUGUGUAUGUAAUAGAUAGAAUGUGGACAUGACGAUUUGUAGAAUGAUGUAAUGUAUAAGUACAGUAGAGAUAUGCUAUGUAAUGAUGUUUAUGGAUGUUAGAAGUGUGCUUGACCAUAGUAUGUUGUUAUCCCUUUUAAUACAUGAUCGCAGAUGUUUUAUGAUGUAUAUGUGAACCAACUCAACGCAUGUUAUGUAGCCCAUUGGGGCUUUGAUGAGAUCCCACAGAGGGGUCAAUGUUUAUAAUUAUGUUUAUGUUCAGUGCAUGCACAGGUUGAGUUUGGUAUAUAAGAGAAUGUAUGAAAGAAAAGUUUUAAAUUUUUGUGUAUAUUGUCGAUCAUGUAUGGGAUUAAUCAGGUUAACAGGAUGCAUGUUAGGCUUGCUACGAGUCCCGGCGGCCUUAAGCCGAUUUGGAUCCUAGCGCCGGUAGCGGUCCGAUUUUCGGGUCGUUACAGAAUGGUAUCAGAGCUCUAGGUUCAUAUGGUCGGACCUAGAGUGUCGGGCUCAUAGAUGUUAUAGAGGGUCAAGCACAAUAGGAAGAUCAUGUCCACCAGGAUAGGAUGUGGAGUCUGGUCUUGUAUGAUGAUGUGAAAUGCCAUGAUUAUAUGCAUGUGCAUUAAUGAUAUGUGAUGUAUGUGAUGAGGGUUCAAGUGUGCCCACAUGAACCAUAUGAUGCUAAUGUUUGCUUGUUAUGUGUUGUCUUUCAGAAAACAAGAUGAGGGGAACUCGUCGAUCUGCACGAUUGACUGGAGUGCCACCUGAGGAUGAGGGCACGAGCGCCCGUCCUCCUGCAUUGCCUAGGGCAAUGUCAUGUAGAUCAAGUAGAGAAAGAGUGUCAAGGGACCCUAGAAGGUAUUUUGAUGCUAGCAGAAGGGGGACAGAUAGAGGAGGAAGUUCUUCAGAUGUAAGGGAGGUUAUGGAAGAGGACCAGAAGAGGGAUGGGAAUCUGGAUGUCAGCAUGACGGAAGAAGGGACAGGGGAGUCACAGGGAGGCGUUCAGGCCUCGGGGUAUGGCUUUCCACCCCAUUAUCCACCCUUCCCACAGGGUUCAGGGUAUCCGAUGGGAGGCACAUCGGAUUACUCCAGCUUUAGCCCCUACCCUACCUACAUGCCUUAUCCACCUUUCUAUCCACCUCACCCCCAGUACCCAGCUUAUCCACCCUCACCCUUUUAUCCUCACCCGGCAAACCCCACCUCGGGGAAUGCUGCACCCCCACCUCCACCACCUACAGAACCAGCAGCCCCAGUUACUCAACCUUCUAGACCUAGCUCAGCCAGUGGGAGCAAGGUCAAGAUGACCGACUACAUGAAACUGGGUGCUCCCCAAUAUGAAAAAGGGGAUGACCCAUUUGUGUAUCUUGAAAGGGUUAAGGUGAUCACAGAUGAGAUUGGGGCUGAUGACAGUAGAGCCAUUCAGAUGGCUGGGUUCACGCUUAAGUGCAAGAAGGCACGGGAGUGGUUCAAGAAUUAUGUGAACCCGAGAGUGGACAGCAUGUCUUGGGAGGAGUUUGCAAACGAGUUUGCAGGUUUGGCUUUUCCCGAUAGUUCAAGGGAGCUUAAGAUGAUAGAGUUUGAGCAGUUGCGGCAGACUGAUGAGAUGAGUGUAGAGGAGUUCACAGACAGAUUCUUGGAGCUGUUGCCAUUUGCAGGGCAAAAUCUUGACUCGGACCAGAAAAGGUCAAGGAGGUAUAUCAUGAAACUCCACUCCAGAUAUUCCUCCUUGAUCCAGUCAGCAGAUAGGGAGAGCUUCCAUGCCAUAGUGGAUAUGGCCCGGAAAAUGGAGGCCAGUGCCAUCAUUCAGGGAACAGUUAAGCAGUCAAUGGCACAGCCUUCUGGUUCUAAGACCCCAGGCUCUUCUUCUUUUAGUGCAGCAGCUUCAGGCAGCAAGAGGUGGAGCAGUACCACCAAGAAGCCAAAGAAGAACAAGUUUUGGAACAAGGUCAAGUCCAGUCUGGGACUAGGAAGUGGCUCGAGCUCUGGUGCGAAUAAUGCAGUUUGUGCAAAGUGUAGCAUGCCACACAAGGGAGUUUGCCGGGCUGGGACAGCAGCCUGCUUCAGAUGCGAGCAAGAGGGACACAUGGCUCGGGAGUGUCCUAGGACAGCUUUUGGAGAACAGUCUCAGCAGACAGCUUCUGGUAGUGUGGUUCAGCCAGCAGCUCCAGCCGUGACUCAGGCCAGUGGCAGAGGUAGAGGGAGAGGAGCAGCCUCUUCUUCAGCGGGUUUCAGAGGUGAAGGUUCAUCAGCUCCAGCAUGGAUCUUCACCAUGACUCAGCAGGAGGCAGAUGCAUCUAACACCAUGGUGGUAGGUAACUUAGUCAUUGGUUGUUCAGAUGUGUAUGCCUUGAUGGACCCUGGUGCAUCUCAUUCUUUUAUUGCUCCGAGAGCCGUCGAGAGGUUGGGUCUGAUGAUCUCUAGGUUAGAGUGUCCUCUCUGGGUCAGUAGACCCAAGUGUGAUCCAUCAGUGGCAGAGUCAGUCUGCCAGUGCAGUCCAGUUUUUGUUGAGGGGAGAUGCCUUUCCGCCGACCUUGUGGUUCUAGACUUGACAGACUUUGACGUCAUUCUAGGGAUGGACUGGUUAUCUACCCAUGGUGCUACCUUGGACUGCAGGGAUAAGGUAGUCAGGUUCAGAGGUCAGGAUGGGUCAGAGGUUGUCUUCAGGGGAGACAGGAGGGGUACACCUAGAGGUCUGAUAUCAGCUCUUCAGGCUCGUAGGUUGCUUAGGAAGGGAUGUCAGGGGUAUUUGGCUCACGUGAGAGAGCUUAGCAGUCAGGUUAGAGAGCCCGCCUCGGUGCCUAUGGUUAGAGAGUUUCUAGACGUCUUCCCAGACGAGCUGCCAGGUUUACCACCUGCUAGGGAGAUAGAGUUCGAGAUAGAAUUGAUGCCUAGAACCUGACCGAUCUCUAUCCCUCCCUACAGGAUGGCUCCAACCGAGUUGAAAGAAUUGAAAGAACAGUUGCAAGAGCUGGUAGAAAAGGGCUUCAUCCGACCGAGCACCUCACCUUGGGGUGCACCAGUCUUGUUUGUGAGAAAGAAGGAUGGAUCCCUUAGACUUUGUAUCGACUACAGGCAGUUGAACAAAGUCACUACAAAAAAUAAGUACCCGUUGCCAAGGAUCGACGAUCUAUUUGACCAGCUAGCCGGAGCAGGUUGUUUCUCCAAAAUAGAUCUGAGAUCGGGGUACCAUCAGCUAAGGAUAAGGGAAGAGGAUGUGCCGAAGAUGGCUUUCAGGACCAGAUAUGGGCAUUUUGAGUUCCUUGUAAUGCCGUUCGGGUUAACCAACGCCCCUGCAGCAUUCAUGGAUCUCAUGAACAGAGUGUUUAGCCAAUACCUAGAUCACUUUGUUAUUGUCUUCAUAGAUGAUAUCUUAGUGUAUUCCAGGAAUGCAGAGGAGCAUGCCCAUCAUCUGAGGUUGGUUCUGCAGACCUUGAGGGAACAUGGCUUGUAUGCCAAGUUCUCUAAGUGUGAGUUCUGGCUGAGGAGCAUUUCAUUCUUGGGGCAUGUAGUGUCAGAGAACGGGAUAGAGGUGGACCCCAAGAAGAUAGAAGCUGUGGCUAAUUGGCCUAGACCCACUUCAGUGGCAGAGAUCAGGAGUUUCUUGGGUUUAGCAGGUUACUACAGGAGGUUCGUUCAGGACUUCUCGAAAAUUGCAGCCCCUCUGACCAGACUAACCAGGAAGAAUCAGAGGUUUGUGUGGACCGACCAAUGCGAAGAGAGUUUUGAAGAGCUUAAGAAGUGGUUGACUUCAGCACCAGUGUUAGCCCUGCCAUCUAGUGAUGAAGACUUUAUAGUCUUUUGUGAUGCGUCCCGAGUGGGACUGGGUUGUGUAAUAAUGCAGAAUGAAAGGGUAAUUGCUUAUGCUUCUAGACAGCUGAAGAAGCACGAGUUGAAUUACCCCACACAUGACCUAGAGAUGGCAGCAGUAAUCUUUGCACUCAAGAUGUGGAGGCACUACCUCUAUGGGGUAAAAUGUGAGAUCUUUACAGAUCAUAAGAGCCUACAGUACAUCCUGAGUCAAAGAGAUUUGAAUUUAAGACAGAGGAGAUGGGUAGAGCUGCUGAGUGACUAUGAUUGCAAGAUUCAGUAUCAUUCGGGUAAGGCGAAUGUCGUGGCAGAUUCCCUAAGCCGGAAAUCACUAGGCAGUCUAUCCCACAUCACGGCAGAGAGGAGACCAGUGGUGAAGGAGUUUUACAAGCUCAUUGAUGAAGGUCAACAGUUAGAGUUAUCUGGUACAGGUGCUUUGGUAGCCCAGAUGAGAGUGGCACCCGUGUUUCUGGAGCAGGUGGCUCAGAGACAGCAUGAGGACCCAGAGUUAGUGAAGAUUGCCAGGGCUAUUCAGUCAGGCAAAGAUGGUGAGUUCAGAUUUGACAGUAAGGGGAUCCUCCACUAUGGGAGUCGAUUGUGUGUACCAGAUGAUAUGGGGCUAAAAGGAGACAUUAUGAGGGAGGCUCAUAAUGCAAGAUACAACGUUCACCCCGGAGCCACCAAGAUGUAUCAAGAUCUGAAGAAGGUUUAUUGGUGGCCAGCGAUGAAGAAAGAAGUGGCACAGUUUGUGUCAGCCUGUAAAGUAUGUCAGAGGGUGAAGCUGGAACAUCAGAAGCCGGCUGGAAUGCUUAACCCACUACAGAUUCCAGAGUGGAAAUGGGAGAAUAUAGCUAUGGACUUCGUAGUGGGGUUACCGGUAGCGUCCAACAGAGUGGACUCCAUAUGGGUGAUUGUGGACAAACUCACCAAAUCUGCUCACUUCAUCCCUGUCAGGAGUGGCUAUUCUGUGGACAAGUUGGCGCAGGUGUAUGUUGAUGAGAUCGUCAGACUGCAUGGGGUUCCCAUUUCAAUAGUGUCCGAUAGAGGGCCCCAGUUCACCUCCAGGUUUUGGCGGAGUCUGCAGAAUGCCAUGGGUACCAGGUUGGAUUUUAGCACUGCUUUCCAUCCACAGAUGGACGGACAGUCGGAGAGGACCAUCCAGACAAUAGAGGAUAUGCUGAGAAUGUGUGUGCUGGACUUUGGCGGUUCUUGGAGGCAGCAUCUACCUUUGGUGGAGUUUGCCUACAAUAACAGCCAUCAUGCUAGCAUCGGGAUAGCUUCAUAUGAAGCUUUAUAUGGAAGGAAGUGCAGAUCACCUGUUUGCUGGGAGGAAGUUGGAGAGAAGGCCUUGGCAGGGCCUGAGCUAGUAGAGAUCACCAGCAGGGUGGUACCCAUAAUCAGAGAGAGGAUCAAAACUGCUACAAGCAGACAGAAGAGUUAUGCAGACAUCCGCAGAAGGCAGGUAGAGUUUCAGGAGGGAGAUCUGGUAUUGCUCAAGGUGUCUCCUAUGAAAGGAGUGGUUCGGUUCGGGAAGAAAGGUAAGCUGGCUCCACGAUACAUCGGACCCUUUGAAAUCUUACAGAAGAUUGGGAAUGUGUCGUACAAGCUAGAUUUGCCUGCUUCAAUGGCAAGAAUCCACCCGGUUUUCCAUGUUUCCAUGUUGAGAAAGUUCGUGUCAAAUCCGGGCAAGGUUCUUAGUGAGCCUGAUGUGGAGAUCCAAGAAGAUCUCACCUAUGUUGAGCAGCCAGUACGGAUCCUAGACACCCAGAUUAGGAAGCUGAGAAACAAGGAGAUCCCGAUAGUGAAAGUCCUUUAGAACCACCACAAUAUGGAAGAAUGCACUUGGGAGAAACGGGAGUCCAUGCUCCAGCAAUACCCUUAUCUUUUCUGAGGUUAGUUCCUUAUGAGUUUUAUAUGCUUUAUAUGUAUGUUACGUAUAUGUCAUGCUAUGUGCUAGUUGAGGAACAUUCGGGGACGAAUGUUCUUAAGGGGGGGAGAAUGUAAUACCCGGCUAGACUCCGGUAUCGGAAUUCCUACCGUCCGGUGGAAUCUCGGAUGUCGGAGACCUCUAGAAGGGUAAAAUCAUGUUUUUAUAAAAUGUUUCAAUGUUUUUUAUGAUUUUAAGUAAAAAGGAAAAUGAGUUUUGAAUGAAAAUAGCCUUGGAGGAAAACUCAGGUUCGGCCGCCGAACCUCAAGUUCGGCCGCCGAACAUGCAGGCAUUUCGGGUGUGCCUUAGGCCCCCGAAGGCAAAGUGAGGGAAGUCCAGGUUCGGCCGUCGAACCUCAAGUUCGGCCGCCGAACAUGGCAUGCAUGCGGAGGCACGUUUGGCCCCGGAACGUGGCCUGGCCAGUCACUAUAAAAGGGUCCCUUAGCCGAAAAUGGGCGAGCUUUUCUCCCCAUUGUCGGCCAAGGUGAGCUCUCCGCCGUCCCUCAUCAAUCUUUGAGUUCUUCCUUCAAAUCUUUCACGAUUUUUACAAGUUUUCAUCUUGUUUUGAAGAUUUUCAAGUUUUGAGCAAGUUUUGAGCUUGGAGACCCAAGGAAGUUAAAAAUCUCCCAUCUCCAAGAUUAGGUCGUCUCUCUCUCGAUCUUCAAGAGGUAAGAGCCG